AGGCCCAGAACAUCUGCAAUUUAGUUUUUUAUAAGUCCUCCAAGAUUUGGCAGUGCUCUUUCUGUUAGCUCUGGAUGUCAGGGCAAUGAACAAACACGUUGAGUAUGAUAGUGAUGCUAAAAUUAUUGCAAUCGGUUGAAGCCCUACCAUGUGGCAACCAUUGAUCCAUGCCCAAAAUGUGCCUGCCACUGGUGUUCCUGUCCCAACACUCGAUCAACAUGCAAGUA